AGAGUUUGAUCAUGGCUCAGAUUGAACGCUGGCGGCGUGCUUAACACAUGCAAGUCGAGCGGUAACAGGUGUAGCAAUACAUGCUGACGAGCGGCGAACGGGUGAGUAAUGCUUCGGAAUCUACCCAAUGGCGGGGAAUAACUAGCCGAAAGGUUAGCUAAUACCGCAUAAGCCCUACGGGGGAAAGCAGGGGAUCGUAAGACCUUGCACCGAUGGAUGAGCCGAAGUCGGAUUAGCUAGUUGGUAGGGUAACGGCCUACCAAGGCGACGAUCCGUAGCUGGUCUGAGAGGACGACCAGCCACACUGGGACUGAGACACGGCCCAGACUCCUACGGGAGGCAGCAGUGGGGAAUAUUGGACAAUGGGGGAAACCCUGAUCCAGCGACGCCGCGUGUGUGAAGAAGGCCUGCGGGUUGUAAAGCACUUUUAGUGGGGAAGAAAUGUUCAGGGUUAAUACCCCUGGAUCUUGACGUAACCCAAAGAAAAAGCACCGGCUAACUCUGUGCCAGCAGCCGCGGUAAUACAGAGGGUGCAAGCGUUAAUCGGAAUUACUGGGCGUAAAGCGUGCGUAGACGGUUAUGUAAGUCGGGUGUGAAAGCCCCGGGCUCAACCUGGGAAUUGCAUUCGAGACUGGAUAGCUAGGGUACGGAAGAGGGAAGCGGAAUUUCAGGUGUAGCGGUGAAAUGCGUAGAUAUCUGAAGGAACACCAGUGGCGAAAGCGGCUUCCUGGUCCAGUACCGACGUUCAGGCACGAAAGCGUGGGGAGCAAACAGGAUUAGAUACCCUAGUAGUCC
rnacentral:rRNA from 1 species